rnacentral:rRNA from 1 species
UACGUAGGGCGCGAGCGUUGUCCGGAAUCACUGGGCGUAAAGGGUGCGUAGGCGGGUCUUUAAGUCAGGGGUGAAAUCCUGGAGCUCAACUCCAGAACUGCCUUUGAUACUGAGGAUCUUGAGUUCGGGAGAGGUGAGUGGAACUGCGAGUGUAGAGGUGAAAUUCGUAGAUAUUCGCAAGAACACCAGUGGCGAAGGCGGCUCACUGGCCCGAUACUGACGCUGAGGCACGAAAGCGUGGGGAGCAAACAGG